UACGGGGGGGCAAGCGUUGUUCGGAAUUACUGGGCGUAAAGGGCUCGUAGGCGGCCAACUAAGUCAGACGUGAAAUCCCUCGGCUUAACCGGGGAACUGCGUCUGAUACUGGAUGGCUUAAGUCCGGGAGAGGGAUGCGGAAUUCCAGGUGUAGCGGUGAAAUGCGUAGAUAUCUGGAGGAACACCGGUGGCGAAGGCGGCAUCCUGGACCGGCACUGACGCUGAUGAGCGAAAGCCAGGGGAGCAA
rnacentral:rRNA from 1 species